ACCUGGCUGGCUCAGUCGGUAGAGCAAGUGAGUUUUGAUCUCUGGGUCGUGGGUUCAAGCCCCAUGUUGAAUG
rnacentral:tRNA from 1 species